UCCCAUGACUAAGGGAUAACCUGCCGAAAGGCAGACUAAUACCUUAUGGUCUUCACUGACGGCAUCAGAUGUGAAGUAAAGAUUUAUCGGUUAUGGAUGGGGAUGCGUCUGAUUAGCUUGUUGGCGGGGUAACAGCCCACCAAAGCAACGAUCAGUAGGGGUUCUGAGAGGAAUGUCCCCCACAUAGGAACUGAGACACGGUCCAAACUCCUACGGGAGGCAGCAGUGAGGAAUAUUGGUCAAUGGGCGAGAGCCUGAACCAGCCAAGUAGCGUGCAGGAUGACGGCCCUAUGGGUUGUAAGCUGCUUUUGUAUGGGGAUAAAGUCAGUCACGUGUGAUUGUUUUGCAGGUACCAUACGAAUAAGGACCGGCUAAUUCCGUGCCAGCAGCCGCGGUAAUACGGAAGGUCCGGGCGUUAUCCGGAUUUAUUGGGUUUAAAGGGAGCGUAGGCUGGAGAUUAAGUGUGUUGUGAAAUGUAGACGCUCAACGUCUGACUUGCAGCGCAUACUGGUUUCCUUGAGUACGCACAACGUUGGCGGAAUUCGUCGUGUAGCGGUGAAAUGCUUAGAUAUGACGAAGAACUCCGAUUGCGAAGGCAGCUGACGGGAGCGCAACUGACGCUGAAGCUCGAAGGUGCGGGUAUCGAACAGGAUUAGAUAUCCUGGUAGUCCGCACAGUAAACGAUGGAUGCCCGCUGUUGGUAC
rnacentral:rRNA from 1 species